UNUGACUCGAGUGCAGAAGGGGAGAGUGGAAUUCCAUGUGUAGCGGUGAAAUGCGUAGAUAUAUGGAGGAACACCAGUGGCGAAAGCGGCUCUCUGGUCUGUCACUGACGCUGAGGCUNGAAAGCGUGGGUAGCGAACAGGAUUAGAUACCCUGGUAGUNCACGCCGUAAACGAUGAGUGCUAGGUGUUAGGCCCUUUCCGGGGCUUAGUGCCGGAGCUAACGCAAUAAGCACUCCGCCUGGGGAGUACGACCGCAAGGUUGAAACUCAAAGGAAUUGACGGGGGCCCGCACAAGCGGUGGAGCAUGUGGUUUAAUUCGAAGCAACGCGAAGAACCUUACCAGGUCUUGACAUCCCGAUGCUAUUCUUAGAGAUAGGAAGUUACUUCGGUACAUCGGAGACAGGUGGUGCAUGGUUGUCGUCAGCUCGUGUCGUGAGAUGUUGGGUUAAGUCCCGCAACGAGCGCAACCCUUAUUGUUAGUUGCCAUCAUUAAGUUGGGCACUCUAGCGAGACUGCCGGUAAUAAACCGGAGGAAGGUGGGGAUGACGUCAAAUCAUCAUGCCCCUUAUGACCUGGGCUACACACGUGCUACAGUGGUCGGUACAACGAGUUGCGAGCCGGUGACGGCAAGCUAAUCUCUGAAAGCCGAUCUCAGUUCGGAUUGGAGGCUGCAACUCGCCUCCAUGAAGUCGGAAUCGCUAGUAAUCGCGGAUCAGCACGCCGCGGUGAAUACGUUCCCGGGCCUUGUACACACCGCCCGUCACACCACGAGAGUUUGUAACACCCGAAGUCGGUGAGGUAACCUUUUAGGGGCCAGC
rnacentral:rRNA from 1 species